rnacentral:rRNA from 1 species
GGCUGCAUAAUCGCUAAGCUCCCUAAUUCCUGGAGGAACUUUGCCACCACUCUGAAACAUCAGAGGCGUGAAUUCUCUGUGGAGGAUGUCAUUGGUCAUCUGAGUGUUGAGCAGAAUUCGAGGGCAAAAGACUCGCACGGAAAAGGGGCCGAAGGGACUUCUGUUGCCAACAUGGUGAACCAGAAGAACUUCAACUCCCACAAGCCCAAGGGAAAGAACGGUGUCCAACACAAUACCGACUUUAAGAAGAAGGGUAAGAAGACCUUCAAGAAGAACAAGAAGGACGAGGGCUGCUUUACUUGUGGUUCGGUUGAACAUUGGGCCAACAAGUGCCCAAACAAGUACAAGAAGUCAGGACAGGACUCCAAGUCUGUCAACAUGAUUGUGGGCAACAAUGAGAAUGGUGCAUCUGGGUACGGUAAUUUAUUUACUGUUUUUUCAGUGUUUCAGCCCAACGAUUGGUGGGUGGACACAGGUGCAGGUGUUCAUGUGUGUGCUGACAUUUCAUUG